UGGAAGACAUUUCAUAAGCACCUGGCACGCUAUCAUUUUUCCCCAGGCACAGAGCAAGCACAUCCAUUACAGAAUUCGAGCCCGCCCAGGGUUUCCUAUUGAGAAAUAACAUUCAGCUAUGGCAAACCCACCCCGGCCAAUGCGCCAGGAACCUCAGUUCAACCACAGGGGAACACACUGCAGAUCCAGAAGACAUCGUCCUGCCGCCCGCCUUCACGUACACUGGCCCUUCCAGCCACUCAUGCUGUUGAGGUGCCCUUUCAAGCUAUCUUCUCAAAGCAACUGCCCUUUUGAGCUACAAUCUUGAAGCCUGGUACACUAACUCUUUAUGGAUAACCGAUUAUGAGCAAAAAUAUCCUGAACCUGACCUUUCUCUCCAGGGUCAUCAAAAGGUUGAAUUUCACAUUUGUACCUCCUGGUGGCUUGUGCAAUUGUGUAAAGGUGCAGCUAGCGAGAGAGCUGCCAACUGCCAACACGUCUGAAGAGGCUUUGCGUGCGCGGGUGCUUCAUCAGGCGCAGGGAACACAUCGCCUCCCGCGACCGUAAACUGAGCUCAUGAAGGCGCAGGAACAGUUGUUCCCGGCAUGCUUUAAGAAAGGGAGCUGCGGUCUCGGAUCGCAGCGCUUGCCUGCGUUACAACAGCCUCAGCAGCUUGCAGCCCUGGCCUCCCACUAGGCCAGGGACAAUAAAAGCAAAGAAACAGCUCAGAAUCUAUUUACCUAUUCCUCCAAAGCGAAUGUGGAAAACAGGCCGUUACGAACUUACACGAAUUCCUUCCUAAAUGCAAA